rnacentral:lncRNA from 1 species
GUCCACCUGAAGACCUCUUAAAAGAGGAGAAGAGAACUUAUUCUUUCCCCAGCACUAGACAGAAUGUCAGACAUCUGGAUGAGUGUGGCUUCAGGCAGAACAAAGUUACUCGGGUGAAGAGACUCAGGAGAUUAACACAAAUGGAGGGAUGGGAUCCAAUAAAGCUAUAGGCUUAGCUCUCCUGAAGGCAUGCAGAAACUGGGAGGCAAAGGCCAGCAGAAAGGUGGGCCAAAGUGACACACAGUCAUUUCCUCCCCUCUCCUGUCCCUGCUAUUCUAGGUGGUGUGUGCAGGAACUGAUGAAGUGGCUAUAAUAUCGCUUGUGAUUGUUGGGAAGCCUAAGAUUUAUGAGAGUCCACACUGAAGAGGUGAACCAGGUUGGAUCCAAGCUUGAUACAAAGAAAGUAAAACACAGCAAGUUGCUCACUGUGCCCAAGGAUGUCCUCUCUAUCCCAGGCUGGCUGGGCCACCCCCCCCCCCCAUCUGUAAUGCUUGCUUCUCAGCAAGGGCUUGUCCUGGAGCUAGGGAAGACCCUGAGCAAAUCAGUGCACUAUUUCUGGAUGUCAGGCAAGGUCUCACAAAGCAGUUCAGGUGGAACUUGAACUUGCAAUCCUUCUGCCUCAGCCUCCCAAGAUGCUGGGAUUAUAGGUAGAUUCUUGUUCACUCGAAGUUGGUAAGACUCUAGAGUUGUUCAAGCUUCAUGUGCCACCCAAGUUGAAGGUGAUGUGAGGGUUCAGAAAGUAGGAAUCCAGAGGAAGAGACACAAUAUUGAAAGUAGAAUCCAGUAACUUGCACAUACUAAGCAAGUACUCUACCACUGAGCUCCCCUCCAGACUCUGAAAGGCCUGCUUCUGCUGAGAAAAUCUUUCAUUCUCAACUCCAGAUGCCAGAGUUAAAGCCUCACAGGUUGACAGAGAUGAUCCCUUGGGUUUCCAGAAUUUGGCAGAACAGCUGACGCACUGAUCCUGUCAAUCUCUACUCUCACAGUGAAUCAUUUACAUCUGAGAAGCCCUUGCCUUGACCUUAUAAAAUCAGUAUGUUUCAAUAAUUCUGAAUCAUCUCAAAAAUGGAAUAAUUAGCUUUUAAAUUAAAAAAUCCAAAUAAACAAGUGGUUAGAGAGCACAUCAAAAGUAUUUAAAUAAUAAGUCCUAGCCAAGAAGAUGUAAUCUAUUAUUGUCUUCCCUUGGAUCAAAGAAUACCUACUACCAGAAUGAAGGACUGUGUCCCAAAAGCAGAUUAAAGUUUUUAUCUUCUGCAGACUGAAAAUUGCUGAUAACUUCUAAAAGACAAGAAACAAAACCACAGCUGUUAAACGUCCUGUUGUUACAUGGUGACCAACAAUGCACAUCUGCACACCACGUACAGUCCUUGCUGGUGUUGCAGUUCAUCUGCC